UUAGCAUUGCUGGCGCAAGGAUGCCACGCAUAUUCGUGAAGUGUUACCAAUUUUUCAGCCCCAUAUAACAUUUCUAAACUUCCACGAUAAAAAAGGAAAAGGCAGCAGCCCUAAGGCGAGAGCAGAGUACCGCGCGAGCAACAGGUCACUCAGUGCCGUCUGAUACUUAACAAGGAUGACAUGAAUCGUUACAAACCGAGAGCGGAGUACCACGCGAGCAGCAGGUCACUCAGUGCCGUCUGACACUUAACAAGGAUGACAUGAAUCGUUACAAACAUGAGUUUUAUUUUUGAAAACAGUCCCCCUGAUCUCAAUUUUUAAGCUGCACUUCCCAAGAUCCAGAGCUCAGUCGUGUGUUUUCCCUAUGUCACCUAAAGAAUUUUCAUUGUUUCGACUGCCUGUAAGACGUGGGAAACCUGCAACAUGACUGCAGGGGGUCAUCGUAUCGAGUCGUUCAUAUCAAUGCAAACCGUCCCUGUCGGACUGGUUAGUUCGCUAACACAUAUACUAAAAUUGAAUAUUAUACAGAGAAGAUUAGCAUGUCCCCCGGCGCAAGGAUGACACGCAAAUUUGUGAAGCGUUACCAAUUUUUCAGCCCCAUAUAACAUUUCUAAACUUCCACGAUAAAGAAGGAAAAGGCAGCAGCCCUAAGGCGAGAGCAGACUACCACGCGAGCAGAGGUCACUCAGUGCCGUCUGACACUUAACAAGGAUGACAUGAAUUGUUACAAACCGAGAGUGGAGUACCACGCGAGCAGCAGGUCACUCAGUGCCGUCUGACACUUAACAAGGAUGACAUGAAUCGUUACAAACCCCUACGGCGAGAGCAGAGUACCACGCGAGCAGCAGGUCACUCAGUGCCGUCUGACAUUUAACAAGGAUGACAUGAAUCGUUACAAACCGAGAGCGGAGUACCACGCGAGCAGCAGGUCACUCAGUGCCGUCUGACACUUAACAAGGAUGACAUGAAUCGUUACAAACAUUUUAUUUUUGAAAACAGUCCCCCUGAUCUCAAUUUUUAAGCUGCACUUCCCAAGAUCCAGACCUCAGUCUUGUGUUUCCCGAAGUCACCUGAAGCAUUUUCAUUGUUUCGACUGCCUGUAAGACGUGGGAAACCUGCACCAUGACUGCAGGGGGUCAUCGUAUCGAGUCGUUCAUUUCAAUGCUAACCGUCCUGUAGGGAUUGUGUUAGUUCGCUAACACAUAUACUAAAAUCAGAUACGAUACAGAGAAGAUUAGCAUGGCCCCUGGCGCAAGGAUAACACGCAAAUUCGUGAAGCGUUAUCAGUUUUUCAGCCCCAUAUAACAUUUCUAAACUUCCACGAUAAAAAAGGAAAAGGCAGCAGCCCUAAGGCGAGAGCAGAGUACCACGCGAGCAGCAGGUCACUCAGUGCCGUCUGACACUUAACAAGGAUGACAUGAAUCGUUACAAACCCCUACGGCGAGAGCAGAGUACCACGCUAGCAGCAGGUCACUCAGUGCCGUCUGACACUUAACAAGGAUGACAUGAAUCGUUACAAUCCGAGAGCGGAGUACCACGCGAGCAGCAGGUCACUCAGUGCCGUCUGACACUUAACAAGGAUGACAUGAAUCGUUACAAACAUGAGUUUUAUUUUUGAAAACAGUCCCCCUGAUCUCAAUUUUUAAGCUGCACUUCCCAAGAUCCAGACCUCAGUCUUGUGUUUUCCCUAAGUCACCUAAAGAAUUUUCAUUAUUUCGACUGCCUGUAAGAUGUGGGAAACCUGCACCAUGACUGCAGGGGGUCAUCGUAUCGAGUCGAUCAUAUCAAUGCUAACCGUCCUGGUAGAUAGUGUUAGUUCGCUAACACAUAUACUAAAAUUGGAUACGAUACAUAGAAGAUUAGCACGGCCCCUGGCGCAAGGAUGACAUGCAAAUUCGUGAAGCGUUACCAAUUUUUCAGCCCCAUAUAACAUUUCUAAACUUCCACGAUAAAAAAGGAAAAGGCAGCAGCCUCUAAGGCGAGAGCAGUGUACCACGCGAGCAGCAGGUCACUCAGUGCCGUCUGAUACUUAACAAGGAUGACAUGAAUCGUUACAAACCGACAGCAGAGUACCACGCGAGCAGCAGGUCACUCAGUGCUGUCUGACACUUAACAAGGAUGACAUGAAUCAUUACAAACAUGAGUUUUAUUUUUGAAAACAGUCCCCCUGAUCUCAAUUUUUAAGCUGCACUUCCCAAGAUCCAGACCUCAGUCUUGUGUUUCCCUAAGUCACCAGAAGCAUUUUCAUUGUUUCGACUGCCUGUAAGACGUGGGAAACCUGCACCAUGACUGCAGGGGGUCAUCGUAUCGAGUCGUUCAUUUCAAUGCAAACCGUCCUGUAGGGAUUGUGUUAGUUCGCUAACACAUAUACUAAAAUUGGAUACGAUACAGAGAAGAUUAGCAUGGCCCCUGGCGCAAGCAUGACACGCAAAUUCGUGAAGCGUUAUCAUUUUUUCAGCCCCAUAUAACAUUUCUAAACUUACACGAUAAAAAAGGAAAAGGCAGCAGCCCUAAGGCAAGAGCAGAGUACAACGCGAGCAGCAGGUCACUCAGUGCCGUCUGACACUUAACAAGGAUGACAUGAAUCGUUACAAACCGAGAGCGGAGUACCACGCGAGCAGCAGGUCACUCAGUGCUGUCUGACACUUAACAAGCAUGACAUGAAUCGUUACAAACCGAGAGCGGAGUACCACGCAAGCAGCAGGUCACUCAGUGCCGUCUGACACUUAACAAGGAUGACAUGAAUCGUUACAAACAUGAGUUUUAUUUUUGAAAACAGUCCCCCUGAUCUCAAUUUUAUAAGCUGCACUUCCCAAGAUGCAGACCUCAGUCUUGUGUUUUCCCUAAGUCACCUAAAGCAUUUUCAUUGUUUCGACUGACUGUAAGACAUGGGAAACCUGCACCAUGACUGCAGGGGGUCAUCGUAUCGAGUCGAUCAUAUCAAUGCUAACCGUCCUUGUAGGACUGGUUAGUUCGCUAACACAUAUACUAAAAUUGGAUAUAAUACAGAGAAGAUUAGCAUGGCCCCUGGCGCAAAGAUGACACGCAAAUUUGUAAAGCGUUACCAAUUUUUCAGCCCCAUAUAACAUUUCUAAACUUCCACGAUAAGGAAGGAAAAGGCAGCAGCCCUAAGGCGAGAGCAGAGUACCACGCAAGCAGCAGGUCACUCAGUGCUGUCUGACACUUAACAAGGAUGACAUGAAUCGUUACAAACCGAGAGCGGAGUACCACGCGAUCAGCAGGUCACUCAGUGCUGUCUGACACUUAACAAGGAUGACAUGAAUCGUUACAAACAUGAGUUUUAUUUUUGAAAACAGUCACCCUGAUCUCAAUUUUUAAGCUGCACUUCCCAGGAUCCAGACCUCAGUCGUGUGUUUUCCCUAUGUCACCUAAAGAAUUUUCAUUGUUUCGACUGCCUGUAAGACGUGGGAAACCUGCAACAUGACUGCAGGGGGUCAUCGUAUCGAGUCGUUCAUAUCAAUGCAAACCAUCCUUGUUGGACUGGUUAGUUCGCUAAGACAUAUACUAAAAUUGGAUAUUAUACAGAGAAGAUUAGCAUGGCCCCUGGCGCAAGGAUGACACGCAAAUUCGUAAAGCGUUACCAAUUUUUCAGCCCCAUAUAACAUUUCUAAACUUCCACGAUAAGGAAGGAAAAGGCAGCAGCCCUAAGGCGAGAGCAGAGUACCACGCAAGCAGCAGGUCACUCAGUGCCGUCUGACACUUAACAAGGAUGACAUGAAUCGUUACAAACCGAGAGCGGAGUACCACGCGAGCAGCAGGUCACUCAGUGCCGUCUGACACUUAACAAGGAUGACAUGAAUCGUUACAAACAUGAGUUUUAUUUUUGAAAACAGUCCCCUGAUCUAAAUAUUAUAAGCUGCACUUCCCAAGAUGCAGACCUCAGUCUUGUGUUUUCCCUAAGUCACCUAAAGCAUUUUCAUUGUUUCGACUGACUGUAAGACAUGGGAAACCUGCACCAUGACUGCAGGGUGUCAUCGUAUCGAGUUGUUCAUUUCAAUGCUAACCGUGCUGGUAGGAUAGUGUUACUUUGCUAACACAUAUACCAAAAUUGAAUACGAUACAGAGAAGAUUAGCAUGGCCCCUGGCGCAAGCAUGACACACAAAUUCGUGAAGCGUUAUCAGUUUUUUUAGCCCCAUAUAACAUUUCUAAACUUCCACGAUAAAAAAGGAAAAGGCAGCAGCCCUAAGGCGAGAGCAGAGUACCACGCAAGCAGCAGGUCACUCAGUGCUGUCUGACACUUAACAAGGAUGACAUGAAUCGUUACAAACCGAGAGCGGAGUACCACGCGAUCAGCAGGUCACUCAGUGCUGUCUGACACUUAACAAGGAUGACAUGAAUCGUUACAAACAUGAGUUUUAUUUUUGAAAACAGUCACCCUGAUCUCAAUUUUUAAGCUGCACUUCCCAGGAUCCAGACCUCAGUCGUGUGUUUUCCCUAUGUCACCUAAAGAAUUUUCAUUGUUUCGACUGCCUGUAAGACGUGGGAAACCUGCAACAUGACUGCAGGGGGUCAUCGUAUCGAGUCGUUCAUAUCAAUGCAAACCAUCCUUGUUGGACUGGUUAGUUCGCUAAGACAUAUACUAAAAUUGGAUAUUAUACAGAGAAGAUUAGCAUGGCCCCUGGCGCAAGGAUGACACGCAAAUUCGUAAAGCGUUACCAAUUUUUCAGCCCCAUAUAACAUUUCUAAACUUCCACGAUAAGGAAGGAAAAGGCAGCAGCCCUAAGGCGAGAGCAGAGUACCACGCGAGCAGCAGGUCACUCAGUGCCGUCUGACACUUAACAAGGAUGACAUGAAUCGUUACAAACCGAGAGCGGAGUACCACGCGAGCAGCAGGUCACUCAGUGCCGUCUGACACUUAACAAGGAUGACAUGAAUCGUUACAAACAUGAGUUUUAUUUUUGAAAACAGUCCCCUGAUCUAAAUAUUAUAAGCUGCACUUCCCAAGAUGCAGACCUCAGUCUUGUGUUUUCCCUAAGUCACCUAAAGCAUUUUCAUUGUUUCGACUGACUGUAAGACAUGGGAAACCUGCACCAUGACUGCAGGGUGUCAUCGUAUCGAGUUGUUCAUUUCAAUGCUAACCGUGCUGGUAGGAUAGUGUUACUUUGCUAACACAUAUACCAAAAUUGAAUACGAUACAGAGAAGAUUAGCAUGGCCCCUGGCGCAAGCAUGACACACAAAUUCGUGAAGCGUUAUCAGUUUUUUUAGCCCCAUAUAACAUUUCUAAACUUCCACGAUAAAAAAGGAAAAGGCAGCAGCCCUAAGGCGAGAGCAGAGUACCACGCGAGCAGCAGGUCACUCAGUGCCGUCUGACACUUAACAAGGAUGACAUGAAUCGUUACAAACAUGAGUUUUAUUUUUGAAAACAGUCACCCUGAUCUCAAUUUUUAAGCUGCACUUCCCAGGAUCGAGACCUCAGUCGUGUGUUUUCCCUAUGUCACCUAAAGAAUUUUCAUUGUUUCGACUGCCUGUAAGACGUGGGAAACCUGCAACAUGACUGCAGGGGGUCAUCGUAUCGAGUCGUUCAUAUCAAUGCAAACCAUCCUUGUUGGACUGGUUAGUUCGCUAAGACAUAUACUAAAAUUGGAUACGAUACAGAGAAGAUUAGCAUGGCCCCUGGCGCAAGGAUGACACGCAAAUUCGUGAAGCCUUACCAAUUUUUCAGCCCCAUAUAACAUUUCUAAACUUCCACGAUAAAAAAGGAAAAGGCAGCACCCCUAAGGCGAGAGCAGAGUACCACGCGAGCAGCAGGUCACUCAGUGCCGUCUGACACUUAACAAGGAUGACAUGAAUCGUUACAAACCGAGAGCGGAGUACCACGCGAGCAGCAGGUCACUCAGUGCCGUCUGACACUUAACAAGGAUGACAUGAAUCGUUACAAACAUGAGUUUUAUUUUUGAAAACAGUCCCCCUGAUCUCAAUUUUAUAAGCUGCACUUCCCAAGAUGCAGACCUCAGUCUUGUGUUUUCCCUAAGUCACCUAAAGCAUUUUCAUUGUUUCGACUGACUGUAAGACAUGGGAAACCUGCACCAUGACUGCAGGGUGUCAUCGUAUCGAGUUGUUCAUUUCAAUGCUAACCGUGCUGGUAGGAUAGUGUUACUUUGCUAACACAUAUACCAAAAUUGAAUACGAUACAGAGAAGAUUAGCAUGGCCCCUGGCGCAAGCAUGACACACAAAUUCGUGAAGCGUUAUCAGUUUUUUUAGCCCCAUAUAACAUUUCUAAACUUCCACGAUAAAAAAGGAAAAGGCAGCAGCCCUAAGGCGAGAGCAGAGUACCACGCGAGCAGCAGGUCACUCAGUGCCGUCUGACACUUAACAAGGAUGACAUGAAUCGUUACAAACAUGAGUUUUAUUUUUGAAAACAGUCACCCUGAUCUCAAUUUUUAAGCUGCACUUCCCAGGAUCGAGACCUCAGUCGUGUGUUUUCCCUAUGUCACCUAAAGAAUUUUCAUUGUUUCGACUGCCUGUAAGACGUGGGAAACCUGCAACAUGACUGCAGGGGGUCAUCGUAUCGAGUCGUUCAUAUCAAUGCAAACCAUCCUUGUUGGACUGGUUAGUUCGCUAAGACAUAUACUAAAAUUGGAUAUUAUACAGAGAAGAUUAGCAUGGCCCCUGGCGCAAGGAUGACACGCAAAUUCGUAAAGCGUUACCAAUUUUUCAGCCCCAUAUAACAUUUCUAAACUUCCACGAUAAGGAAGGAAAAGGCAGCAGCCCUAAGGCGAGAGCAGAGUACCACGCGAGCAGCAGGUCACUCAGUGCCGUCUGACACUUAACAAGGAUGACAUGAAUCGUUACAAACCGAGAGCGGAGUACCACGCGAGCAGCAGGUCACUCAGUGCCGUCUGACACUUAACAAGGAUGACAUGAAUCGUUACAAACAUGAGUUUUAUUUUUGAAAACAGUCCCCUGAUCUAAAUAUUAUAAGCUGCACUUCCCAAGAUGCAGACCUCAGUCUUGUGUUUUCCCUAAGUCACCUAAAGCAUUUUCAUUGUUUCGACUGACUGUAAGACAUGGGAAACCUGCACCAUGACUGCAGGGUGUCAUCGUAUCGAGUUGUUCAUUUCAAUGCUAACCGUGCUGGUAGGAUAGUGUUACUUUGCUAACACAUAUACCAAAAUUGAAUACGAUACAGAGAAGAUUAGCAUGGCCCCUGGCGCAAGCAUGACACACAAAUUCGUGAAGCGUUAUCAGUUUUUUUAGCCCCAUAUAACAUUUCUAAACUUCCACGAUAAAAAAGGAAAAGGCAGCAGCCCUAAGGCGAGAGCAGAGUACCACGCGAGCAGCAGGUCACUCAGUGCCGUCUGACACUUAACAAGGAUGACAUGAAUCGUUACAAACCCCUACGGCGAGAGCAGAGUACCACGCGAGCAGCAGGUCACUCAGUGCUGUCUGACACUUAACAAGGAUGACAUGAAUCGUUACAAACCGAGAGCGGAGUACCACGCGAGCAGCAGGUCACUCAGUGCCGUCUGACACUUAACAAGGAUGACAUGAAUCGUUACAAACAUGAGUUUUAUUUUUGAAAACAGUCCCCCUGAUCUCAAUUUUUAAGCUGCACUUCCCAAGAUCCAGACCUCAGUCUUGUGUUUUCCCUAAGUCACCUAAAGAAUUUUCAUUGUUUCGACUGCCUGUAAGACGUGGGAAACCUGCACCAUGACUGCAGGGGGUCAUCUUAUCGAGUCGAUCAAAUCAAUGCUAACCGUCUUUGUAGGACUGGUUAGUUCGCUAACACAUAUACUAAAAUUGGAUAUUAAACAGAGAAGAUUAGCAUGGCCCCUGGCGCAAGGAUGACACGCAAAUUCGUAAAGCGUUACCAAUUUUUCAGCCCCAUAUAACAUUUCUAAACUUCCACGAUAAAAAAGGAAAAGGCAGCACCCCUGAGGGGAGAGCAGAGUACCACGCGAGCAGCAGGUCACUCAGUGCCGUCUGACACUUAACAAGGAUGACAUGAAUCGUUACAAACCCCUACAGCGAGAGCGGAGUACCAUGCAAGCAGCAGGUCACUCAGUGCCGUCUGACACUUAACAAGGAUGACAUGAAUCAUUACAAACAUGAGUUUAAUUUUUGAAAACAGUCCCCCUGAUCUCAAUUUUUAAGCUGCACUUCCCAAGAUCCAGACCUCAGUCUCGUGUUUUCCCUAAGUCACCUAAAGCAUUUUCAUUGUUUCGACUGCCUGUAAGACGUGGGAAACCUGAACCAUGACUGGAGGGGGUCAUUGUAGCGAGUCGUUCAUAUGAAUGCUAACCGUGCUGGUAAAUUGUGUUAGUUCGCUAACACAUAUACUAAAAUUGGAUACGAUACAUAGAAGAUUAGCAUGGCCCCUGCGCAAGGAUGACAGGCAAAUUCGUGAAGCGUUACCAAUUUUUCAGCCCCAUAUAACAUCUCUAAACUUCCACGAUAAAAAAGGAAAAGGCAGCACCCCUAAGGCGAGAGCAGAGUACCACGCGAGCAGCAGGUCACUCAGUGCCGUCUGACACUUAACAAGGAUGACGUGAAUCGUUACAAACAUGAGUUUUAUUUUUGAAAACAGUCCCCUGAUCUAAAUAUUAUAAGCUGCACUUCCCAAGAUGCAGACCUCAGUCUUGUGUUUUCCCUAAGUCACCUAAAGCAUUUUCAUUGUUUCGACUGACUGUAAGACAUGGGAAACCUGCACCAUGACUGCAGGGUGUCAUCGUAUCGAGUUGUUCAUUUCAAUGCUAACCGUGCUGGUAGGAUAGUGUUACUUUGCUAACACAUAUACCAAAAUUGAAUACGAUACAGAGAAGAUUAGCAUGGCCCCUGGCGCAAGCAUGACACACAAAUUCGUGAAGCGUUAUCAGUUUUUUAGCCCCAUAUAACAUUUCUAAACUUCCACGAUAAAAAAGGAAAAGGCAGCAGCCCUAAGGCGAGAGCAGAGUACCACGCGAGCAGCAGGUCACUCAGUGCCGUCUGACACUUAACAAGGAUGACAUGAAUCGUUACAAACAUGAGUUUUAUUUUUGAAAACAGUCACCCUGAUCUCAAUUUUUAAGCUGCACUUCCCAAGAUCCAGACCUCAGUCUUGUGUUUUCCCUAAGUCCCCUAAAGCAUUUUCAUUGUUUCGACUGCCUGUAAGACGUGGGAAACCUGCAACAUGACUGCAGGGGGUCAUCGUAUCGAGUCGUUCAUAUCAAUGCAAACCAUCCUUGUUGGACUGGUUAGUUCGCUAAGACAUAUACUAAAAUUGGAUAUUAUACAGAGAAGAUUAGCAUGGCCCCUGGCGCAAGGAUGACACGCAAAUUUGUGAAGCGUUACCAAUUUUUCAGCCCCAUAUAACAUUUCUAAACUUCCACGAUAAAAAAGGAAAAGGCAGCAGCCCUAAGGCGAGAGCAGAGUACCACGCGAGCAGCAGGUCACUCAGUGCCGUCUGACACUUAACAAGGAUGACAUGAAUCGUUACAAACCCCUACUGCGAGAGCGGAGUACCACGCGAGCAGCAGGUCACUCAGUGCCGUCUGACACUUAACAAGGAUGACAUGAAUCGUUACAAACAUGAGUUUUAUUUUUGAAAACAGUCCCCCUGAUCUCAAUUUUUAAGCUGCACUUCCCAAGAUCCAGACCUCAGUCUUGUGUUUUCCCUAAGUCACCUAAAGCAUUUUCAUUGUUUCGACUGCCUGUAAGACGUGGGAAACCUGCACCAUGACUGCAGGGGGUCAUCGUAUCGAGUUGUUCAUUUCAAUGCUAACCGUGCUGGUAGGAUAGUGUUACUUUGCUAACACAUAUACCAAAAUUGAAUACGAUACAGAGAAGAUUAGCAUGGCCCCUGGCGCAAGCAUGACACACAAAUUCGUGAAGCGUUAUCAGUUUUUUAGCCCCAUAUAACAUUUCUAAACUUCCACGAUAAAAAAGGAAAAGGCAGCACCCCUAAGGCGAGAGCAGAGUACCACGCGAGCAGCAGGUCACUCAGUGCCGUCUGACACUUAACAAGGAUGACAUGAAUCGUUACAAACCCCUACGGCGAGAGCAGAGUACCACGCGAGCAGCAGGUCACUCAGUGCUGUCUGACACUUAACAAGGAUGACAUGAAUCGUUACAAACCGAGAGCGGAGUACCACGCGAGCAGCAGGUCACUCAGUGCCGUCUGACACUUAACAAGGAUGACAUGAAUCGUUACAAACAUGAGUUUUAUUUUUGAAAACAGUCCCCCUGAUCUCAAUUUUUAAGCUGCACUUCCCAAGAUCCAGACCUCAGUCUUGUGUUUUCCCUAAGUCACCUAAAGAAUUUUCAUUGUUUCGACUGCCUGUAAGACGUGGGAAACCUGCACCAUGACUGCAGGGGGUCAUCUUAUCGAGUCGAUCAAAUCAAUGCUAACCGUCUUUGUAGGACUGGUUAGUUCGCUAACACAUAUACUAAAAUUGGAUAUUAAACAGAGAAGAUUAGCAUGGCCCCUGGCGCAAGGAUGACACGCAAAUUCGUAAAGCGUUACCAAUUUUUCAGCCCCAUAUAACAUUUCUAAACUUCCACGAUAAAAAAGGAAAAGGCAGCACCCCUGAGGGGAGAGCAGAGUACCACGCGAGCAGCAGGUCACUCAGUGCCGUCUGACACUUAACAAGGAUGACAUGAAUCGUUACAAACCCCUACAGCGAGAGCGGAGUACCAUGCAAGCAGCAGGUCACUCAGUGCCGUCUGACACUUAACAAGGAUGACAUGAAUCAUUACAAACAUGAGUUUUAUUUUUGAAAACAGUCCCCCUGAUCUCAAUUUUUAAGCUGCACUUCCCAAGAUCCAGACCUCAGUCUCGUGUUUUCCCUAAGUCACCUAAAGCAUUUUCAUUGUUUCGACUGCCUGUAAGACGUGGGAAACCUGAACCAUGACUGGAGGGGGUCAUUGUAGCGAGUCGUUCAUAUGAAUGCUAACCGUGCUGGUAAAUUGUGUUAGUUCGCUAACACAUAUACUAAAAUUGGAUACGAUACAUGGAAGAUUAGCAUGGCCCCUGCGCAAGGAUGACACGCAAAUUCGUGAAGCGUUACCAAUUUUUCAGCCCCAUAUAACAUUUCUAAACUUCCACGAUAAAAAAGGAAAAGGCAGCACCCCUAAGGCGAGAGCAGAGUACCACGCGAGCAGCAGGUCACUCAGUGCCGUCUGACACUUAACAAGGAUGACGUGAAUCGUUACAAACAUGAGUUUUAUUUUUGA